UCAAAUGAAUUGACGGGGGCCCGCACAAGCGGUGGAGCAUGUGGUUUAAUUCGAUGCAACGCGAAGAACCUUACCUACUCUUGACAUCCAGAGAAGCCAGCGGAGACGCAGGUGUGCCUUCGGGAACUCUGAGACAGGUGCUGCAUGGCUGUCGUCAGCUCGUGUUGUGAAAUGUUGGGUUAAGUCCCGCAACGAGCGCAACCCUUAUCCUUGUUUGCCAGCGAGUAAUGUCGGGAACUCCAGGGAGACUGCCGGUGAUAAACCGGAGGAAGGUGGGGACGACGUCAAGUCAUCAUGGCCCUUACGAGUAGGGCUACACACGUGCUACAAUGGCGCAUACAGAGGGCAGCAAGCUAGCGAUAGUGAGCGAAUCCCAAAAAGUGCGUCGUAGUCCGGAUUGGAGUCUGCAACUCGACUCCAUGAAGUCGGAAUCGCUAGUAAUCGUGAAUCAGAAUGUCACGGUGAAUACGUUCCCGGGCCUUGUACACACCGCCCGUCACACCAUGGGAGUGGGCUGCAAAAGAAGUGGGU
rnacentral:rRNA from 1 species